rnacentral:rRNA from 1 species
GAUGAACGCUGGCGGCGUGCCUAAUACAUGCAAGUCGAGCGAACAGAUGAGGAGCUUGCUCCUCUGACGUUAGCGGCGGACGGGUGAGUAACACGUGGAUAACCUACCUAUAAGACUGGGAUAACUUCGGGAAACCGGAGCUAAUACCGGAUAAUAUAUUGAACCGCAUGGUUCAAUAGUGAAAGACGGUUUUGCUGCCACUUAUAGAUGGAUCCGCGCCGCAUUAGCUAGUUGGUAAGGUAACGGCUUACCAAGGCGACGAUGCGUAGCCGACCUGAGAGGGUGAUCGGCCACACUGGAACUGAGACACGGUCCAGACUCCUACGGGAGGCAGCAGUAGGGAAUCUUCCGCAAUGGGCGAAAGCCUGACGGAGCAACGCCGCGUGAGUGAUGAAGGUCUUCGGAUCGUAAAACUCUGUUAUUAGGGAAGAACAAAUAUGUAAGUAACUAUGCACGUCUUGACGGUACCUAAUCAGAAAGCCACGGCUAACUACGUG